GGAAAAGAAACCAACAGGGAUUGCCCCAGUAACGGCGAGUGAAGCGGCAACAGCUCAAAUUUGAAAUCUGGCCCCAGGCCCGAGUUGUAAUUUGCAGAGGAUGCUUUUGGCGCGGUGCCUUCCGAGUUCCCUGGAACGGGACGCCAUAGAGGGUGAGAGCCCCGUACGGUUGGACACCAAGCCUUUGUAAAGCUCCUUCGACGAGUCGAGUAGUUUGGGAAUGCUGCUCAAAAUGGGAGGUAUAUUUCUUCUAAAGCUAAAUAUUGGCCAGAGACCGAUAGCGCACAAGUAGAGUGAUCGAAAGAUGAAAAGCACUUUGAAAAGAGGGUUAAACAGCACGUGAAAUUGUUAAAAGGGAAGCGCUUGUGACCAGACUUGCGUCCGGUGAAUCACCCAGCUCUCGCGGCUGGGGCACUUCGCCGGCACAGGCCAGCAUCAGCUUGCCGUCGGGGACAAAAGCUUCAGGAACGUAGCUCUCUUCGGGGAGUGUUAUAGCCUGUUGCAUAAUACCCUUCGGCGGGCUGAGGUACGCGCUCCGCAAGGAUGCUGGCGUAAUGGUCAUCAGCGACCCGUCUUGAAACACGGACCAAGGAGUCAACCUUAUGUGCGAGUGUUUGGGUGUUAAACCCCUACGCGUAAUGAAAGUGAACGCAGGUGAGAGCUUCGGCGCAUCAUCGACCGAUCCUGAUGUUCUCGGAUGGAUUUGAGUAAGAGCAUAUAGGGUUGGACCCGAAAGAAGGUGAACUAUGCGUGUGUAGGGUGAAGCCAGAGGAAACUCUGGUGGAGGCUCGCAGCGGUUCUGACGUGCAAAUCGAUCGUCAAACAUGCGCAUGGGGGGCGAAAGACUAAUCGAACCCUUCUAGUAGCUGGGUUUCCGCCGAAG
rnacentral:rRNA from 1 species